rnacentral:rRNA from 1 species
GACAGAGGGUGCAAACGUUGUUCGGAAUUACUGGGCGUAAAGCGAGUGUAGGCGGUCUUAAAAGUCAGGUGUGAAAGCCCCGGGCUCAACCCGGGAAGUGCACUUGAAACUGCAAGGCUAGAGUUCUGGAGAGGAAGGUGGAAUGCUUGGUGUAGAGGUGAAAUUCGUAGAUAUCAAGCGGAACACCGGUGGCGAAGGCGGCCUUCUGGACAGUAACUGACGCUGAGACGCGAAAGCGUGGGGAGCAAACAGG